AGCAGCAUAGUGUAGUGGUUUAACAUUUAACUAGAACUCUGGAGACCAGGGUUUGAAUCCCUGCUUAGCCA